rnacentral:rRNA from 1 species
GCAUAUCAAUAAGCGGAGGAAAAGAAAAUAACAAUGAUUCCCCUAGUAACUGCGAGUGAAGAGGGACAAGCUCAAAUUUUAAAUCUAUCGGGUUUUACCUGAUCGAGUUGUAAUUUGAAGAGGCGUUUUCUGCGUGUUUGGUCAGCCUAAGUCCUAUUGAAUGAGGCAUCAUGGAGGGUGAUAAUCCCGUCCGGUUGAUCAUUUGCGUUUUACGAUACGCUUUCUAAGAGUCAAGUUGUUUGGGAUUGCAGCUUAAAAUGGGAGGUAAAUUUCUCCUAAGGCUAAAUAACGGCGAGAGACCGAUAGCGAACAAGUACCGUGAGGGAAAGAUGAAAAGAACUUUGAAAAGAGAGUUAAACAGUACGUGAAAUUGUUGAAAGGGAAACGAUUGAAGCCAGUCGUACCUUCGGGUAAUCAGCCUUUCGAGUGCGAUUCUGUGGAGUGUGAGGAGCUUAACACCUUCAUGCUUUGCAUAUUUGUGCUCUUGGGUGUACUUGCCCGUGUGGUUGGUUAACAUCAAUUUUGGUUAUCAUAAAAUGAUUGGAGGAAUGUAGCUUCGAUCUCGUAUUGAAGUGUUAUAGCCUUCGGUAAAUGUGAUGAACGAGAUUGAGGAUUGCAACGGAUACCCUUCGGGGCUACCUGUCUGGUCUCUGAUCGUUGCUCUGGUGCCGAAAGCUUGCUUACGGUCAUCAAAGUCGACGGUCAAUAGGUUAGAACGGGUUAAAUUCGUUAAGGAUGUUGACGUAAUGGCUUUAAACGACCCGUCUUGAAACACGGACCAAGGAGUCUAACAUAUAUGCGAGUGUUAGGGUAAUUAAACCCUUACGCGUAAUGAAAGUAAUUUUGGUGGGAACACUUUUGUGCACCAUCGACCGAUCAGGAUAUUUUUUGAUAGAUUUGAGUAAGAGC